rnacentral:rRNA from 1 species
CCUACGGGGGGCAGCAGUGGGAAUAUUGGACAAUGGGCGAAAGCCUGAUCCAGCCAUGCCGCGUGUGUGAAGAAGGCCUUCGGGUUGUAAAGCACUUUCAGUGGGGAAGAAAGCCUUGGGGCUAAUACCCUCGAGGAAGGACAUCACCCACAGAAGAAGCACCGGCUAACUCCGUGCCAGCAGCCGCGGUAAUACGGAGGGUGCGAGCGUUAAUCGGAAUUACUGGGCGUAAAGCGCGCGUAGGCGGUCUGAUAAGCCGGUUGUGAAAGCCCCGGGCUCAACCUGGGAACGGCAUCCGGAACUGUCAGGCUAGAGUGCAGGAGAGGAAGGUAGAAUUCCCGGUGUAGCGGUGAAAUGCGUAGAGAUCGGGAGGAAUACCAGUGGCGAAGGCGGCCUUCUGGACUGACACUGACGCUGAGGUGCGAAAGCGUGGGUAGCAAACAGGAUUAGAUACCCCAAGUAGUC